AUGGGCUGUUUGAUCAUUGCAUGGGGGUGACUCGCAUGUCCUCACUGACCAGCCGCUCUGAUAACACCCGAGAAUGGAAUGCAGCGGUCUGUGAAGAUCAAGAAGAAUGGAGGAAGUGUGAACUUAGGCAUUUACAUAGUAUUGUGUACCAGGAGGAACUCAGGUCAUAUAACCAACUGCUUCAGACAUAGCAGGGAGAGUGCGUGGAGAGGUCUCUGUGUUGUGUCUCCAGAUAUAUCUGUAUUGGGGGAUAUAAAUACUAGUUAAAGACAAUGCAGAGAACAGGACUUCUGAAUCUGACAACGGAGAAUGGCUCAAGCAUCCAGUAAAUUACCAAUAUCUUUAAAGCUAAAUUUUACGCGUUUAACCCGAUCUGUGGGGCGAUUUGGAUCAAUAUUUCCAAGAAGGGUUAUCGCCAUCAUCACCGCCACAGGAUGACGCAACAGGGCAUGCCUCAGACCAUCAAAACAUUAAACAUUCUCUAGAGGCUGCCUGGUUAACCGGAAGAGAUCCAGGGGAUGUGAUACCGCAUCAAAAUUUUGAAGAACAACCGCCAUUUCACUGGGAGUCUGUCUCAACCGCUGAUGGCCAUGGAGAGGUCUAGGCCUCAACCAGCGGGCAGAGAUUUAGGAUUCUCAUCGGGUCGCAACAACAGGAGAACCAGUUCCAGUUCUGAGAAUCCACACCUGAGAUGCCACGGGGCUUCCAGCGAAGGAUUUCCAUCGGCACGCUCAAACAGACCCAGGUCCAGACCAUCCAGGUGUCCUCAGUGCUGCAGAACUACAGGCCAGCAAUUGGAUCUGAUGUCUAGAGCCUUUUGGCUCAUCUGUCAGAAGUUAGGUGUACAAAGUGACAAUUUGUAAACUGUUUCAGACUGUGAUUUUUAUCAUCUGUAUAAAUUGCAAUGAUGUUGAUUUAAGGUUUUUAAAAGCGUUUGAUUUGUAUGAGGUCAUGGAUCAACACACACUAGUAGCUAUUGAUUUGUUAGAGAGUUUAGCACAAAAUCUUCAGAAUGCAUCAGGUUUUCAAAACGAUUUAACUGAAAAUGAUUUGAAUGAAAACGACACAGCCGCUACAUCUAACAGCUCCGAACAGCCGGUAGAUCCUCUCCUUGCUUUAAAUCAAGCUCUCACUAACCUUGAGCAGUUAGAGAAUGAAUCAUCACUAGACGAAACAAUCAGAAUAAAUAAUGUCCAGCUCGAACAAAGUCCCCCUUUAUCAGACCCUCAGACACCUCCAAACUACAUCGAUCUCAGCAUACCCAGUCCUCCUGUGCAGCAAGGAGGUGCUUGUAUUUCCCGACAACCACGCGUUUGCAAAUUAUCAAAUCAGACAGUUGUUAAACUUUCCACCCCCUCUUAACGCAGAUGGAAUAGUGGAUUACAGCAUUUAUUACAACACAGCCUUACAGGAAGCGGAUGCGUUGCUACAACAAGCAUUAGCAUAUGUGACUCCUCGAGACGCGGUACAGUUAGAGCUGCGCGGGCAAAAUCUCCAUAGUAACGUCUUGGCCGUCUUAUCUAAUGACGAGCUCCCCUGCCUAGCCGACUUUGAAAGGCUCUUACUCCGUGUUGUGCAGUCUAACUGGGCCGUUGUGGCCGAUGGUCAGCUAGAACUUGUCGUAGAAGUGAUCCAGAACCCUAGGGGUGGGGGGAAACGAUUUCUUGGGAAAAUGCCAGACAGUGAAAUCAUAAAAAAAAAAAAAAAAAAAAAAAAUCCUGAUAUCAGCGAUAGAGAAGCCCUUGAAUGCGGUAGACAGCUUCAAAAUGAAGUAGGGUUAGACGAGCAGACCACUGUAUCCUUUAGCGACAUCCCAAAAUUUGAAACCGCAUUGGACUGUACAAUUGUAGUGUUUAACAGAACCGAGGAAGACAGGGCUCUCCGCAAAUUCUUGACAGAUAGCCCAAGAUGGAGUAAAACCCUGAUUUUGUUUCUCUUGUUCAAAAUCACUACUAUGCGGUUAAAAAUCUCAAAGCUUUACAGGUUUUAACACCGUGUUAGGCCAUACUUGCGAAGCUCGUUGCACUGUAUGCUUUGACCCCAGUUGUACACAGAGGCUGUGUCAGCCUGUUGUGUGUGACCAAUGCAACAGAACUUGUCGCUCGCCUUUCUGUUUGGCCAAACACAAAGAACCUACAGAGAGAUCGAGAAGUCAAACAUAUGCUAGCGCUUGUGCCUUGUACAAAAAAAUGUACCAAAUGUGCAAGGUUGUACUACUGUGCUAUGAACGGU